GCCCUCUGCUGGACAGCCCUGGGGACCCAGCUCACACAGGCCUGGGCCUGGACAGGUUCUUAGGCAGGUCUACCAGGCCUUUCCACCUUGCUCAUUCCAUGCUUCUCUCUGUCCCUAAGGUUGGGCUGUGAGGGCUGGUCCACCUGGCAGAUGUUCUUCGCCCCGGCUGGGACUAGCUCAUCUCCACCUCCCCCAUUAGAAGGUCUACCCUGAAGGCCAGAGGUCAUUGGCAGAGGGGAUUGCCGGGAGAAGGGAAGAACGGCACAUCUGUCAUCUGCUAGAUCCUAGGAGAGUGGGAGCUCGGGUCAGAAUCCUUUCGCGCUCAGCCCCCACUCCGUCUUCUCCCAGUGGGCAUUCUACAGUCAGUGCAGAUACUUGGGCUAAACCGCUCCAAAAGACGGUACUUCAAUGGCCGGACGCUGCUGCUUCCACGACCCGUGGCCUCACUUCUGGGGGCCCAAUCUCUGCUUCCUCUGGGAGUGGUCCACUCUGGAGGUCUCUCCAGCAUCCGGUGGCUGUUGCUGGCUGAGGACAAACAGCAGACAGCCCAACAAAGCCUCUCUCAUGUCUUGGGAGCUCAGUCGGCGGGCCAGUCGGCGCAGCAGGGGCAGGAGGUGCUGGCGGGCCAGGCGGGCAACAGGCAGCAGGAGGCGGGAGAGCAGCGAUCGAAGCAGCAACGGGAGAAGCGGAGAGGGCAUGGCAGAGCCUGGACCUGCAAAGGGAACCCAGGUUCUAGACUACACUGCGGGCGGACCGGAGUCCUUCCUUCAGCUCAUACCUCUGUGCUUCCUAGCCGUCACCUCAUGGAUUAGUUUUGCUUUGGUGCAAUCCUUUCUCGCACCAAGACAGCUGGCUCAGGGGGUUCACUCACUGUUGGCCCAGAUGGAAACUGAGCCUCAGGGUGCGGGGGAGCUGGGGCUACAGCUUGUUGUUCUGGCCUUCCCUGGCACUGUUACUGUCCAGUACCCACUUCCUUUAAUCAACCCUCACACACACACACACACACACACACACACACACACACACACACACCCCUUAUAUUCUAACUCAAGGCCUCUACUCCUUGCCCUCCCAUCCACCACCUCUAACCGGUCAGUGGUGGCUCUCACCAGUCAGAACUGCUGCUCCGAAUCAAUUUCAGGAUGCAUUUGCCUAUUGUGGACACAGCAUUACCGGCUAGCACGACGUAGCCCCACCUCCCUUUCCCUUCCCCCACCCCUGCUCAGCUCACUUGGGUAUGGAGGGCUACAAUGAGGGAACAGCUGUGUUCUGGCACCUGGCAUACUGAGUACAGCUGGUCCUUCUUCCAGUCUGGGAAGGAAGGAGGGGACACAUGGAAAGAUGGAGCUCAGAGUCCACUCUGUGACCUGAAGCAUGUGGACUCUUCUGGGCUCUGGUCACUUUAUGUGUUACCUCUGGAAGUGGAGAAAGAACAGGAGAAAGCACAGAAGAGGACAACAGUGGUUGAUACCUCAGAUGCAGUAACGCUGUGUGCAGACACACUUCCUAACCCCUUCCAUGCUACUCCAGGGGCCAAGCCAGUGAGGGCCUUCACGUUCUCUGUAGACCAUCUUCAGAGGCAGAGGGUGGGACACACAGCUCCUGUCAUAGCCAAAUGGCAUGGCCACUCCUGAACAGGAGGAGGGACAUGCAGUUCAAGACCUUCUCCAGUCAUCCCACUGCCUUAGACUAAACGAGGUUACACACACACACACACACACACACACACACAGAGAGAGAGAGAGAGAGAGAGAGAGAGAGAGAGAGAUCCAGCUAUGUCUGGUUGGGUGUAUGACCUGAAUUUUAUUUGGUUUUGUAUUUUUUUUUUAUUUUAAGAAUUUUGUUCUCAGGGCUGGAGAGAUGGCUCAGUUGACUGCUCUCCAGAGGUCCUGAGUUCAAUUCCCACUAACCACAUGGUGGCUCAAAACCCUCUGGGAUGGGAUCAAAUUCCUUUUUCUGGUGUGCAUGAAGACUCAUAUACAUGAAAUACAUAAAUAAGUCUUCAGAAGAAUGUCAUUCUCCUUCAGAAAGGAGCUGUAAUUCAAGGCUGGAUUCAGGAGAGAGAGUGGCUGUUAGGGUUGGCUUUAAUGUCAACUUACCACAAAUUAAAGUCACUUAAGUAGGGAGCCUCUCCUGAAGGACAUCCUGAUUGCCUUAAUUGAUGCAGGAAGAGCCACCCUGGUGGUGGGCAGCAGCUUCUGGAAGCCGUCCAGAUCGAAGGGACACGGCAGAAGGAAAAUGAUACGACUUUUGUUGGAUUGGAGUCCCUCUUGUCUUUGAUUUAAUUAAAUUCUUUAAUUUGGGGGCUGAAGAGACAGCUCAGGGGUUAAGAACAUUGACUGCUCUUCCAAAGGAUACAGGUUCAGCUGGGCGGUGGUGGCACACGCCUUUAAUCCUAGAA